UGGGGAAUAUUGGACAAUGGGCGAAAGCCUGAUCCAGCAAUGCCGCGUGAGUGAAGAAGGCCUUCGGGUUGUAAAGCUCUUUUACCCGGGAAGAUAAUGACUGUACCGGGAGAAUAAGCCCCGGCUAACUCCGUGCCAGCAGCCGCGGUAAUACGGAGGGGGCUAGCGUUGUUCGGAAUUACUGGGCGUAAAGCGCACGUAGGCGGCUUGGCAAGUCAGAGGUGAAAGCCCGGGGCUCAACUCCGGAAUAGCCUUUGAAACUGCCGGGCUUGAAUGCGGGAGAGGUGAGUGGAAUUCCGAGUGUAGAGGUGAAAUUCGUAGAUAUUCGGAAGAACACCAGUGGCGAAGGCGACUCACUGGACCGCUAUUGACGCUGAGGUGCGAAAGCGUGGGGAGCAAACAGGAUUAGAUACCCGCGUAGUCC
rnacentral:rRNA from 1 species